GGACGCAGGUUAAGAUCUCUCCUGCUCUCAAUUUGAUGAUUUUCUGUGGUCUAGUCCAUCUCGAAACAGGGCUGGAAGACAUCAGAUCUUGCCUUGGUCCUGAGAUGAUCUUCAGGCUCCUCUGUGUGACCUUGAGUCUCCUGUGUGCAAAACACAUGGAGGCUGCAGUCACCCAAAGCCCAAGAAGCAAGGUGACAGUAAUAGGAGAAAAAGUGGAACUAAGCUGUAACCAGACUGAUGGCCAUGACUAUAUGUACUGGUAUCGGCAGGACCUGGGUCAUGGACUGAGGCUGAUCUAUUACUCAUAUGUUGCUGGCAGCACUGAGAAAGGAGAUGUCCCUGAUGGGUACAAGGUCACGAGACUAAGGACAGAGGACUUCUCUCUCAUUCUGGAGAAGGCUUCUCUGUCUCAGACAGCUGUGUACUUCUGUGCCAGCAGUGAUACACAGCAGUGUGUGGCUGCCUCCCCUCUGCACAGAAAGACGGUAUUAGCUGAGGAACCGGAAACAGUGCUGUCUCAGGAGGUACAAGGCAGGGUCCAGGGGAUCAGUCAUCUUUGUACACCCACUGGGCAUCACCACAGGGAGUCAUGGACUGUAGCCUGGGCAAUCCAGAACCUCCUGAAACUAGAAGAGAAGGAAGCAACUGCCUCAGAGGGAAACAUGUAA